CGCCUCGAGCCGCCCACCCCUUUCUCCCAUGACACGCAACCUCUCCUUCCUCUUCUUCCCCCGAUCUGCUCGUUCCAAUUCUUGGCCAUCGGGAGGAGGCAGCCAGGGGAUGGGAAGGCCGGGCGGAAGAGAAGGAUGAGGGGACGCGGCUGCGAGUACGCCACCGGCCGUGCGGAUCGGGUGGGAAAGAGAAGUUGGCGGCGGCGGCGGUUUCAAUAUGUGAUCUGCCACCAGCGCCGCCGGAGGGACGGAAGAAAGCAUCUGAGGGGCGGCGCAGGCCCGGGCUCGGGCAGCCACCAUGGCGUCAGAUGCGCCGGCGGGGGCCUCUUCCUCGUAGCAAGGCGUGGCCCUGCUCCUCCCCAUGGCGUUGAUGACAAGGCGGGCGGCGACGCGAGCUCUCGUCCCGAGGAAGCCGCGGGAGGACGAGUACAAGCCAGACCAGGUCGACGUGCCCCCCUGCCACACCUCCUUCUCCUGCGGGUUGGUUGCUGCUGUUGCUGGUGCCGUUCGUGUCCGAUUCGACUGGCCUGCCAUUUGCAGGAGGCUGCAAGAUUUGUUGAACCAAUUUUGAGAAGACUGAAUCUACCACGUAUCCAAAUGGAGCGGCUGCAAUCAUUAUAUACCUGGAAUGAUGCUUUUAUAUGUCUGAAUUUUCACAAGUAUUGCUAAACUUGGCCCUAGCGAAGUGGCAAGUGUACUGCUGUAGUUAGCCUACUACUUCAGUUAUAUGAACCUACAAAUGGCAAGUGAGCUCUUUUUAUCUUUUGCUAUUACGUUCAUCCCUUCUUCCAGGACUUACUGAUUUAGAGAAGAAUAGAUAUAGUGAAGUGCACUCUAUGGUGUGUUUUCUUUUGUUUUCGAUUAUGCUGCUGCUUGAUCUAUAACUAAAGGGUACACAUAGUCCAACUCUGUAUUCUGAGAAAUGCAUUUUUUACUCCGCUUCGUAGUAAUAUGUUUUUCACCAACAUAUAUUGUGAUAGGAAAGAGAUGUUUCAUGAAUUGACAAAUAAAUUUUGGCACCUGCUGUUCUCACCUCUCGAUGCUUUGCAUCUCAUAAUUAUGCCAUAGGUUUUAAGGUGACACUUCUGUCAUGCAAAGUGGAACUAAAGUAGCAAAAACAGAAAUUGUGAUUCUGUAAUGCACAUCUGCUAAAAAAACUUAUGAGUUAAGAAAAGAAAAUAUGUUGUUGAAAAAAUUUAGGGCAGCUUACAUAAGAAUCAAAUCCUAUAUUGAUUAUAGGUCUUUUUACUAUCAUGUUUUUCCUUGCAUUGUUCUUUUUUUGGCUGGAAUUUUACCUUUCACUGUUACAUACUAUCUUUGUUUGCCUUGAGGUACAUAUUUCUCUUAUCAACAAUUCUAGCACAACAUUCCAAAGAAAUACUUAAAUUCCUUUUGAUUAUAAGACCAUGGAGAGUUAAAAAAUAGUUAGAAUUUGAGAAUCAACUAGGAGUGAGGUUAAAGUACUGAUCCCUCGACUUCAUCCCUGUAACUUCAUCUACCAAAUUUCCUUUUGUUUUAAUGGCAGACUGGUUAGUUGAUUCUGAUUCCUACGGAUUGCUUCUCUAAUAAGGACAUGGUGACGUAUACCAGAGUCCCAAAAUAUUUAUCAUUCUUUGAAGCUUUGCAAGGGGGAAGGCUAAGACAUGGAUCAAAAUUUGGGAAACAAGCCGUCUGGACUCAAAUUAAGUGCGGAUGAAACCCUUUGAGGUUCUGACCAUAAAGGUGAUUUUUUUUUAAUACACUUUAGUAUUGGAAAAGGAAUUAGUGAAGGAGGGAUACAUCAUGUUUAUUAUCUUCUGAUUGUCUUCAUGAUAAUUUCCCUGAAGAGAAUAAAGGUGUUCUAAGAUUUUGGCAUAAGACAAUAACAGAAACUGAAAUCUUGGCAACAUAGGUGAGACCUGUGUGUUCGUAAGAAUAUUUUCUUCCCUGUACUAAAUAAAGAUACUGUUGUAGCUUAUCAUUAGAUGCACAUUAUUUAUUAAAGAAGUUGUUGUUUUCAUUUGUGCAUGCUCUACGCAGAUGCGUUAAUGAUUAUAGGUGAACUGUAUUUGCACAUAGAUACUUUAGCUACACUAAAUUAAUUUUUUAGAUAAAUUCUGCUAUAAGGUAGGACAUAUGGGAAGCAGCAUUUCAGAGCGUAACGACAUGGUCGUGACUGCGGCAGGAUAGAUGGGAAGCAGCAUUUUCCAUCCUCCUGCGCCAGACCAACUUUGUCAUUUUCUGGUGAGAUGACACCUCCUUAGUCUGCUUCAUGGCUCCAUGGACGUGGUCCUGACUGCGGUGGAUUUUAGUCUUGUUUCCUUCUUUGCAACGACCGUGCUGCUACCCCUCUUUGCUAACAUGUGUUCUGUUUUUGCAGAUUGGUGUGAAGUGAGCACACAUUUGUUGAUCGUUAGUCUACCGCUUGUUUCCUGUUCUCUUCAUUACUUCCUUCCUGCCGUACCACUGGUGCUUGUGCUUAUGCUCCACCCAUGACCUGCUUUAAAAAUUGUCUUGCCAGGAUUUGUAUUCAUUGCACACCCCGCUGCAGAUCCGAGCAGGCACCUUGCAUCCUUCCUUUUGCACUAUGAAUCUUAUUACUUAACCAGAUCUGCGUAUAUCUCGUGUGUUAACCAGAUCUUGAUAUAUCUCGUGUGAUGAUUUGCAUCAUGGAUGCCUGAUGAGUAUUCAGUGAUGUCUGCUAUGUUGUGCACUAAACGUUUCACCUUUUUUUAUGGUGUUUUUCCUUGAGGAAACUAUUGCUCUGAGAACUAAAGUGAUGAGGCACUUUUAAGCCCUCAAAUUUAGUUGUAUGCUAUUAUCGCUGCACUUUAUGUUGUUUUUCCAACUUCAGUUAACUUGCAGGAUCGCGGCUGUUACUGGAAGAUGAUGAACAAGUACAUAGGAUCAGAUGUAAUGUCAGUUAUUACACUUCCAAUCUUCAUCUUUGAGCCGUUGGGAAAAUGGCAGAGGUUUGUACUAAUGGACUAUGCCCUUAAGUUCCCUCUAUACCACGCUGGAACGUCUAGACCACAAGAGGAACAUAAAACAUUUUGAUGUUAGAGGUUCUCACAUCCUGAAGACACAAUACUUGCCAUAUGGUGUCAACCAAGAACUUUUUUGCUUUGGCUGUUGAAGAUAUCACAUUUUCUCAAUCUAUCUACCAGGAUGAACUCUUGCAUCUUGAUAGAUAAUCUUGCUAUUCUGAUGUCUGGUCAUGCAAACUUCCUUUUUUCUUUGAGAUUUGAAAAAUAAAUUGUGGAACAGGUGGGUGAAAGAAAACAUGUUGUACCAGCUACAUUUUGCAUGGCAAAAGUUGACAUAUUGUUAUC